rnacentral:rRNA from 1 species
UACAGAGGUCUCAAGCGUUGUUCGGAUUCAUUGGGCGUAAAGGGUGCGUAGGCGGCGCGGUAAGUCCGUUGUGAAAGUCAGAGGCUCAACCUCUGGAGGCCAAUGGAUACUGCCGGGCUAGAGUCCGGAAGAGGCGAGUGGAAUUCCUGGUGUAGCGGUGGAAUGCGCAGAUAUCAGGAGGAACACCAGUGGCGAAGGCGGCUCACUGGCCCGGUACUGACGCUGAGGUGCGAAAGCGUGGGUAGCAAACAGG